CGUGAGGGAAAGGUGAAAAGAACCCCGUGAGGGGAGUGAAAUAGAACCUGAAACCGUAUGCUUACAAACUGUGGUAGCCCUUCGGGGUGGCCGCAUGCCUUUUGCAUAAUGAGUCUGCGACUUACCGUAUGUGGCAAGGUUAAACAUUAUCCAUGUGGAGCCGAAGCGAAAGCGAGUGUUAAUAGCGCGAUUUAGUCGCAUGCGGUAGACCCGAAACCAAGUGAUCUACCCAUGGGCAGGAUGAAGCUUCUGUAAAAAGAAGUGGAAGACCGAACCAGUACGUGUUGAAAAACGUUUGGAUGACCUGUGGGUUGGAGUGAAAGGCUAACCAAACUUGGUGAUAGCUGGUUCUCCCCGAAAUACCUUGAGGGAUAGCGUCACGUGGUAGCAGAUGGAGGUAGAGCACUGAGUACUUGAUGGCCCCUCCCGGGGUACUGAGAGUUUUCAAACUCCGAAUACCAUCUGUGGAAUCGUGGCAGUCAGACUGCGGGGGAUAAGCUCCGUAGUCGAGAGGGAAACAGCCCAGACCGCCAGCUAAGGCCCCUAAAUGAUCGUUCAGUGGAGAAGGAUGUCAGAUCUCGAAGACAGCCAGGAUGUUGGCUUAGAAGCAGCCACCAUUUAAACAAAGCGUAAUAGCUGACUGGUCGAGAGGUUUGGCGCCGAAAAUGAACGGGGCUAAAACGAUCUGCCGAAGCUGCGGGUUAUAACUACUGUUAUAGCAGUAGGGGAGCGUUGUGUACCGGGCUGAAGGGAAGGUGUAAACCAACCUGGACUGUACACAAGUGAUUAUGCAGACAUGAGUAACGAUAAGAGUGGUGAGAAUCCACUCCGCCGAAAUCCUAAGGUUUCCUGGGGAAGGUUCGUCCGCCCAGGGUUAGUCGGCCCCUAAGGCAAGGCUGAAAAGCGUAGUCGAUGGGAAACGGGUUUAAUAUUCCCGUACCGCUAUAUAAGAGUGAUGGAGGGACGCAGCAGGUUAGCUCAGCCACCGAUUGGAAAUGGUGGUCUAAAGGUGUAGGUGAUUCCAUAGGUAAAUCCGUGGAUGUUAGCUGAGACCUGAUGGGACAGGGAGUCUUCGGACGAACUGGAUUGAGUGAUACUGUACUGCCAAGAAAAGCUUCUAAACGUUGAUUAUAUGGCGACCGUACCAAAACCGACACAGGUAGGAAAGUAGAGUAUACUAAGGCGCGCGAGAGAAAGGUUGUUAAGGAACUCGGCAAAUUAACCCCGUAUCUUCGGAAGAAGGGGUCCUGCUGGAGGCUAAGAACUAGCUUCUGAUGUUUCUAGCAGGCGCAGUGAAGAGGCGAAGGCGACUGUUUAUCAAAAACAUAGCACUAUGCGAACUCGCAAGAGGAAGUAUAUGGUGUGACACGUGACCAAUGCCAAAAGGUUAAGGCAAGGGGUUAGCAUUAGCGAAGCUCUAAACCGAAGCCCUGGUGAAUGUCGGCCGUAACUAUAACGGUCCUAAGGUAGCGAAAUUCCUUGUCGGGUAAGUUCCGACCUGCACGAAUCGUGUAACGAUCUUCGCACUGUCUCAACAACCAUCUCGGUGAAGUUGUAAUUCCGGUGAAAAUGCCGGAUAACCGAUGCAGGACGGAAAGACCCCGUGAACCUUUACUGUGACCUGACAUUGGAAUUUGAUGUGUCAUAUGUAGUAUAGCUGGGAGACUUUGAAGCAUCUUCGUCAGGAGGUGUGGAGUCAUUAGUGAAAUACCAGUUUUGGUUUAUUGAAUUUCUAACUACGAUCCCUUGAAUCAGGGCGUGGAACAGUGUCUGGGAGUCAGUUUGACUGGGGCGGUUUCCUCCUAAAGAGUAACGGAGGAGCACAAAGGUACCCUCAGCAUGGUCAGCAAUCAUGCGUAGAGCGUAUAGGUAUAAGGGUGCUUAACUGCGAGACCUACAAGUCGAGCAGGUGCGAAAGCAGGUCUAAGUGAUCCGGUGGUUUCUAGUGGUAGAGCCAUCGCUUAACGGAUAAAAGGUACUCCGGGGAUAACAGGCUGAUGAUUGCCAAGAGUCCAUAUCGACGCAAUCGUUUGGCACCUCGAUGUCGGCUCAUCGCAUCCUGGGGCUGGAGAAGG
rnacentral:rRNA from 1 species